AAGUCGUAACAAGGUUUCCGUAGGUGAACCUGCGGAAGGAUCAUUGACAAAUCUAAAACAAGUUGCUUGGAGGAUGGCCUUUAACCGGGUUACUCUUCAAGUCAACAACAUCCUAACCUGUGAAUCGCAGCACGCAAGUGUUGUUUGUGGUGUUGUUGUUGGUUAUAGCUAGCUUAACAGCUGCUUUGCAACAGCAACCCCUCACAUAAAUUUACGUAACACAAAUGUCUUAGAAAUCAAACUAAAAAAUACAACUUUUAGCAAUGGAUCUCUUGGCUUCU
rnacentral:misc_RNA from 1 species